rnacentral:rRNA from 1 species
AACGAACGCUGGCGGCAUGCCUAACACGUGCAAGUCGAACGAGACCUUCGGGUCUAGUGGCGCACGGGUGCGUAACGCGUGGGAACCUGCCCUUAGGUUCUGAAUAACUCCCCGAAAGGGGUGCUAAUACCGGAUAAUGUCUUCGGACCAAAGAUUUAUCGCCUUUGGAUGGGCCCGCGUUGGAUUAGCUAGUUGGUAGGGUAAAAGCCUACCAAGGCGACGAUCCAUAGCUGGUCUGAGAGGAUGAUCAGCCACACUGGGACUGAGACACGGCCCAGACUCCUACGGGAGGCAGCAGUGGGGAAUAUUGGACAAUGGGCGAAAGCCUGAUCCAGCAAUGCCGCGUGAGUGAUGAAGGCCUUAGGGUUGUAAAGCUCUUUUACCCGGGAUGAUAAUGACAGUACCGGGAGAAUAAGCUCCGGCUAACUCCGUG